UUAUACCGAAGUUCAUUCUUUGGAUGUCUUCACAUCUUCUAAGUUGUUCUUACUUUUAUCCUUCAUCUUUUUCCCCUUGACUUUUUGACAUUUCUCAUAGCUUAAUAGAUUUUCCACUUCCCAAACACAUAAAUUCUUCUCUUUCAAAUGUUUGGUCAAUGAUGAUUGACAAAAUGUGUCGAAUUGCUUAUCGAAAGCACGUCAAUUGUCGAUGAAUUUUGGUGUAACGUCAAAAUGUGAAAUUUCAUUUUCUUAAUUGUCAUAAUUUACAUCACGUUAUAAUUUGAAGGCUACUCAGACUCCAAUUAACAGAAUCGGAGACUCUAGAUAUGUUUUUAAAAUAAUAAUCAUAAUAAUAAUAAUGUUACCAACCCCGGGGCCGAUGGGUCCUAUGCUCUUACCAUCAAUUAAUAUGUAGAUUAUUUGAAUUGGACUAUUGGCACUCCUGUAAAAUUCUUUUAAAACUCCUUUUCAGUUAUACUAAACUUAUUACCAAAAUUACCCUUAUUUCUAAAUGAAUACAUUUAAUUUGUGAAUCUUUUAGUUUUUUAUUUUUUUUCGCUCCUCACAAAUAAUUUUUAUUGGUGAUAAAUUUCUUGACAAAAAUCAAUGAAUUAAAUAAAUUAU
rnacentral:lncRNA from 1 species